rnacentral:rRNA from 1 species
AGUGAACGCUGGCGGUAGGCCUAACACAUGCAAGUCGAACGGCAGCACAGUAAGAGCUUGCUCUUACGGGUGGCGAGUGGCGGACGGGUGAGGAAUACAUCGGAAUCUACUUUUUCGUGGGGGAUAACGUAGGGAAACUUACGCUAAUACCGCAUACGACCUACGGGGGAAAGCAGGGGAUCUUCGGACCUUGCGCGAUUGAAUGAGCCGAUGUCGGAUUAGCUAGUUGGCGGGGUAAAGGCCCACCAAGGCGACGAUCCGUAGCUGGUGUGAGAGGCUGAUCAGCCACACUGGAACUGAGACACGGUCCAGACUCCUACGGGAGGCAGCAGUGGGGAAUAUUGGACAAUGGGCGCAAGCCUGAUCCAGCCAUACCGCGUGGGUGAAGAAGGCCUUCGGGUUGUAAAGCCCUUUUGUUGGGAAAGAAAAGCAGCAGGUUAAUACCCCGCUGUUCUGACGGUACCCAAAGAAUAAGCACCGGCUAACUUCGUG